rnacentral:rRNA from 1 species
GUCAAAUCAUCAUGCCCCUUAUGACUUGGGCUACACACGUACUACAAUGGCUGGUACAACGGGAAGCGAAGCCGCGAGGUGGAGCCAAUCCUAAAAAGCCAGUCUCAGUUCGGAUUGUAGUCUGCAACUCGACUACAUGAAGCUGGAAUCGCUAGUAAUCGCAGAUCAGCCAUGCUGCGGUGAAUACGUUCCCGGACCUU